AUUGCCUUCUAUCAUACUAUUUAAUAUAUUCAAUAUAUUUUUACUGCCUUCGUUCUGCAGAUUUUGGAGAAGUUGGAGAAGUUAUUGCCUGUGAUGAUCACUAAAUCUCCUACUUAAAGCGGCUGUACAAGUUGAAACCACUUGGUUUGCCAGGUAAGUGUUAGUAAAUAUUCUGUUUACCACCUUUUCGAGAAUAAAUCUGCUGCGUAUUGUGCCAUCUUUCAGGUCGAUUUCAUCGCCGCAGGACUGUCGCAAAGUGUGGCCGGAGCUUACUUCCAUCCUGGCUCCCUUGCAGCAGAAGGUGUGGUGUUAUCGUCUCCGUCGUCUCGUCUUUCAGGGGUACGUAGGUGACAAGAUAAACUCGAUCUCGGCGAAGGUUGACAUCAGGAUUUCAUCCGUCGGUCGUCUAGGGAAAACGAACUGGUUUAGCACCGUCUUCAUCGAGCGGACUAAGUGCUCCCAGCAACCGCCAAAGUGUGGAGCGCCAGAGGGGUAGAUCGUCCACUUCAUUUUCGGUCCGCAAAAGGCUGUCAUAAGCGCGUUGUGGUCGAUCCUCUGUAUAUUUUCGUGCAGUUCCCUCGCAGCACCAACGAAGUUAGUGCCUCUAUAGCUCUAUGACGCUAAGUUCAGCGAUACCGCUACCUCUAAAUGAACUGCUCGGCUUGUAAGGCAGCUAUUGAUAAAGCAGGAUAAUGAAAUACAUACAAGUAUUUAUUAACUUCAUUAACCUAACUUUAAAAGAAGAGCCCUCGCACCUAAAGUAAUGUUUAUUCAAAAUGGCCGGAAACAUAGAUUGAAAAGGAAAUGUUACUCCAAUUGAAAGCUUUUGGGAUGUUUAUGAACUUCCAUCUUUCAGACUAUUUUUCAUAAAUCAUAGUGCA